rnacentral:lncRNA from 1 species
AAGAUUCAGCAAUUAACCCAACAAAGACAUGAUUAUCUGUGUUGUGGAUUCUUACUGACAGAUUACUUAAAAAAGAGUCAACAAUAACAGAGGUAUAAUCUAGAGACUUGCUGUCAAAAGAUAUGUUGCUAUUAGUUGAUAAUGUACCUGCAUACUACCUGCAGAAACUGUCACUUUUCUCCAUAAAUAUAGAUAUGAAACCUUGCCCCACCCCAUAUUUUCCCUACCUGGCAUCUUCAGACUUCUUGUUUCAAAACAUGAAGAAAUAUUUACAGAGAAGUUUAUUCUAUGAUAAGACGGUCAUAGUAAUUGUGUUCGAGAAUUUUUUAUUACUGUUAUUUCAGAUUCCUGAUUCUUGAGAAAAAUUCUUGGAAAUCUUGAGAAUUAAAAAAAUUCA